AUACUCGCACCAGUGACCAACGUUUCAGAGUCUGAUGCCACAGUAAUACAUCUCUCGUUGCCGGUGCUCCAUUAUGGAUAAGUGCAACGUGGACUGUUUUUGAUGAAGGCAUCUGUCUGCGGAGAUUGUAUCAGAUUCAGUUUACAAUGGUAUGAAAUGAAUUCUCAAAGAAUGAGUCAUAAAGCUACUGACAAUAUUUUGGGAUCAAUUUUAUUGUCUGCUAGCUAUGUUGUUACAGUGACUUAUAAAAAUUAAAACAUACUAAAAUUGUGAUAGUUGGUGUGAAAUAUUAUAUUUUAUUUUAAGCUCUGCAUAUUAUUGAUUGGCUUCAUUUUGAUAACUUAUAAUAGCAAUUGAGGAGUGGCAAAGUAUGAUUGAAAUAACGGUUUUCUGUAACUGUGUAUCUAAAUUGAAACUUUCUUGAACUGCAAGACAGCCUUUGUCAUGGGUGCAUCAUACGUCAUUGUCUUCAGCUGACGUCUCUGUACUGUAUUAUCUAUUGAAUAGAAACAUGAUCUAUUUCAUUGUUGAAAAGUACUGUAGAUGUUUUAUUAUUUGUACUUUCAUAUAACCAUUAUUAUUGUUGUUUUAUAUUUUAUGGGUGUUCUUGUCAAGUGUAAACUAAAUGUAGUUCUUAUAAUUCAUUGCUAUUUGAGAGGAUUUCAAAUUUCUGGUCUGCUGUGCAAUCUGAUACUACAUGGAGGGACCAAAUGACAGUCACACUAUGAACAAAUUUUUCAAGUGGUCCGCUUAUGUGUGAAAUUCAUCAUUUGGACUAAAGCACAAAAUAUAGUUCAUUGUGCUAUCUGUAA